AUGAUCAUCACAAUCAUCACAAUUUUGUGGAAUGGGAGCUAUGCCUCCAGCAGUGAUCACCUUAUAGAAGAUAUAGACCUAGGUGGGAGUUAAGCCUUGAGGUCAUAACCAUCUUAUACUCCGGGAUGGCAUCUGAGCACAACUGUAUCCAUUUCCUAAGUCUCUCCAGACCUUCAGCACCCAUGCAGUCAUUAAGUGUGGGCAGGGUCAACAUCCCCUGAUGCGAGUAGACUGUGAUCCUAUUUCAGUAUUAACAGAAGGAGCCUGUGAGACACUCAUCUGGGAGGAGCUUGAACUGACUGUAUUCCAAGAUGUGAGUUUCUCUGAGAUCCCAGAGAAAAGACCUUUGUCUAAACUCAGCUACUGGAGCCUCAGCAGCUGGAUUGGUAUGGGGCAUGAGGAGUCACAUGUGUGAGGCCACUCAAAGAGGGUGGGCUC